rnacentral:rRNA from 1 species
UUGUUGCAGUUAAAAAGCUCGUAGUCGGAUUUCAGUAUUAGGCCCUUCUUCCAAUACGGUUGCUAGUGGUCUUUACUUCCUUAACAGAAUCUUUCAUCUCAUUAAUUUGGGGUGUUUGGGGCCUGUUUCUUUUACUUUGAGAAAAUUAGAGUGUUCAAAGCGGGUUUUCGCCUGGAUAUUACUCUUGGAAUAAUAAUAUAGGACUUUGGUUCUUUUUUGUUGGUGACUUAGAACCGAAGUAAUGAUUGAUAGGGACAGUUGGGGUCAUUCGUACUAUGAAGCGAGAGGUGAAAUUCAUGGACCUUUGUAUGACGAACUACUGCGAAAGCAUUUGACUAGGAUGUUCCCGUUGAUCAAGAACGAAAGUUGGGGGAUCGAAGACGAUCAGAUACCGUCGUAGUCUCAACCAUAAACUAUGCCAGCUAGGGAUUGGAGGAAGAUCAUUUUACGUCUCCUUCAGCACCUUAUGAGAAAUCAAAGCAUUUGGGUUCCGGGGGGAGUAUGGUCGCAAGGCUGAAACUUAAAGGAAUUGACGGGAGGGCACCACCAGGAGUGGAGCCU